rnacentral:sRNA from 1 species
ACACGGCAGGGGGGAUGGAUAAGGAC